rnacentral:rRNA from 1 species
UACGGAGGAUUCGAGCGUUAUCCGGAUUUAUUGGGUUUAAAGGGUGCGUAGGCGGUAGAUUAAGUCAGGGGUAAAAUAUUAUAGCUUAACUAUAAGUAGCCUUUGAUACUGGUUUACUAGGAACGGGUCGGAGCAGGCGGAAUGAAUCAUGUAGCGGUGACAUGCAUAGAUAUGAUUCAGAACACCGAUCGCGAAGGCAGCUUGCUAGGACGAGUUUGACGCUGAGGCACGAGAGCGUGGGGAGCGAACAGG